rnacentral:rRNA from 1 species
GCGGUAAGACGUAAAAGACAAGUGUUAUUCAUCUUUAAUGGGUUUAAAGGGUACCUAGACGGCAUAUUAAGCCUAAAAAGGGGGACUGAUAUGCUAGAGUUACUUAUGAAGAAGUUUUAAAGUACUAGAGGUGUAGAGAUAAAAUUCAUUGAUACCUUUUUUUCUAACGAAAAAGUUUAGGCACAGAUAUAGGUGAAAACAUCUUCUUAUGGGAUAACUGACGUUGAGGGACGAAGGCUUUUUACAGCGAACAGGAUUAGAGACCCUGGUAGUCAAAGCAGAAAAUGAUGAGUGUCAUAGAUUAGAUUAUAAUUUAUUCUAUAAAUGAAAGUGUAAGCACUCCACCUCAAGAGUAAUUUGGCAACAUUGGAACUGAAAUCAUUAGACCGUAUUUGAAACCAGUAGUGAAGUAUGUUAUUUAAUUUGAUAAUCCGCAAAAAACCUUACCACAACUUGAAUGUUUAUAUAUUUAUUUUUGUAUUAUAUUUGUGUGUAGCUCUAUGUAUAACAUAGGCUGCAUGUUAUGCAAUUUAACUAAAAAAGUAAAAUCAUAGAUACAAGUGUUGCACGGCUGUCUACAGUUAAUGUCGUCAGACUAUGGUUAGUUCCAUUAAAUUAACGUAAACCCUUACUCUAUUUUUAAAUAGAGUCGUUCUCCGCUAUAUUGGAUAAGAUAACAGGGAACAAGACAAGUCAUCAUGGCCUUAAUGU